UGGACAGGCCCUUAGAAAGAAAUUCUGGCAUGCCGCAUAUGAAAGAGAGAGAUGGAGCUAGAUGAGUCAACGUCAAAAUCAUAUGAUCAAAACAUUGAACUCACAUUCAGAAAAUCGCUAAUUUUUCUCUCAUUCUGAAUUGAACACAUAGUUAAUCUGAUUGAUUCGAUUUGUAAAAGUGUUGAACAUUCUAAUAAAAGGAAUUAGCGAAUCCACCUGCUAUUGCGAAAUUCAAAGCACCAAAAGAACUAAUUUUCAAAUAAAAUGCCUCACACUCGUGCAGCCUUCAAUUGUACAGCGAGAUUAGAAAAAAGCCAAAAGUUGAAAUUUCAUUCUUCACAGUUUUCCAAAGGAUGCGAAUUAAGGGAACAGUAGAUGAAAGCUGAAGAAGAAUUGAUUUCAACCCUUUUUCCUUGUUGAAAAUAUGCAGCAACCGUUUUCAUCAACAUAAUUUAUUAAUAUUCAUAGUACAAAAACUCUGAAAAAAGAUGUUAUUCCUUCAGUUUUCAGUUUCUCCAAUUAUAUGCCUGAGAGAUUAAAUUAUGGAGAUAAAUGUCUUGAAGAUAAUAUUGAAGGUACAUUAAUAUUUUAUUUUUUAUGGAUGUGAAAUAUCUAUUUAUUUUCCGUCCCUUAUUUUAUUCAUUCAUAUAAAUAAUUAUUGCAAAAGAAAUUGAACAGGACCAGCCAGAGACAAAACAGCAAGAGAUGGGGCAACCAGAGACGGUACAACUGUUUAUAAUAUCAAAAUCCUCUGCUGCUGCCAUGAAAGAUUUUUCCCCCAGAUUGAAUACUAAUAUUAGAAAUACUAGAAAUUAGAAACCUGGGAAUGAGGAUUUCCAAGAAUGGAACACUAGACGAAGUAAUAUCUGAGAGAAACAUCCAAAGAAAACCAAUAAUCUCAAUGUUAAAUAGGAUAUUAUCGAUUAAAAACAUAAAUGUGAAUAAUAAGAAAAAAUGUACUCAAUAAUUAGGAGCAUAAUAACAUACAGCUCUGAAGUGAACAGCAGCUGGAAAAUCUGAAAGGGACAUGAUACCAAAUGAUACAAUAAGACAUAGAAUGGAAAUAAGACAUGAUAUUAUUGAUCUUAAGAACACAACAGUUGGUUUGGUACAGACAAGUCCAUAAAUACUUAUGAUACUAGGUGUGAUUUAAACGAUAAUAAUUUUUUAGAUUGCCAUACUAAAUGAGGAACAUAUUCUGUGCCGUGGCUUAAAAAUUCAUCUUUAGGGUAGCUCAUUCACUGAAACGCUGUUGUUAUUUAGUUGAAAAUUACUUUUAACAUAUGUGAACAACAACUUAUAACGUUAUAAUAUGUAUUUUUCAGGAAAAAUGAAUGUAUCAUAACUGAUCCUUGGAGAGAUAAGGAGAAGAAGAUUCAUAAAUUUCAAGAUUUGGAGGAGUUUAGAACUAAGAAGAGGAAGAGCUCAAUCCUGAUAUUUUUCAAUAUCCUGGAUAUUAAAUGAUUGGAAGAGUGAAUAUCCUCCUUAGUGGAGAGUGAGAAAUCCGACUGCGAAUAUGUUCUUCCUCAUGCGCUGAUAGGCUAGAGUCGGACCAUUUUUUAAAUCAUUUAUUGUAAUAAUGUAUUUUGAACAGCAAUGAACACUUAAUGAAUACAAUUCUUCAUAAAC